UUGCUCGGCACCUUACGAGAAAUCAAAGUCUUUGGGUUCUGGGGGAGUAUGGUCGCAAGGCUGAAACUUAAAGGAAUGACGAAGGGCACACCAGGUGUAAACUUUUACUAGUUUUGCCGCAGUAACUCUGCACCGAACAGCAGCCUGAAAGGGUGAGGUGGUUUGUCCUGAGAGCGAUCUCAAACUAUUAAAUGCUAGUCCAGAAAUGGGCGAGACCUUCAAAUUGUCGGGGAACUCCUAAAGCUUCAGACACCAAGCCGUAGUUGAAAAACUAUGGUGGCCAGGGUAAUGACCUCGGGUAUGGUAAAAGCGCUGAAGAUGUAACAAUGGACAAUCCGCAGCCAAGACUCUAAGGGUAGUAAUCGACCUACGAGUAAGGGUUCAGAGACUAGAUGGAGGUCGGUCACAUUCAGUUGUGGCUUAAGGUAUAGUCCGGCUGCAAGCGAAAGCUUGCGGAAUUGGCUUUUGAAUCCAAUUCCUUUAGUGAAUAGGGAGCCUGCGGCUUAAUUUGACUCAACACGG
rnacentral:rRNA from 1 species